rnacentral:rRNA from 1 species
CACUCCUGCGGGAGGCAGCAGUGGGGAAUAUUGGACAAUGGGCGCAAGCCUGAUCCAGCCAUGCCGCGUGAGUGAUGAAGGCCCUAGGGUUGUAAAGCUCUUUCACCGGUGAAGAUAAUUACGGUAACCGGAGAAGAAGCCCCGGCUAACUUCGUGCCAGCAGCCGCGGUAAUACGAAGGGGGCUAGCGUUGUUCGGAUUUACUGGGCGUAAAGCGCACGUAGGCGGACUAUUAAGUCAGGGGUGAAAUCCCGGGGCUCAACCCCGGAACUGCCUUUGAUACUGGUAGUCUUGAGUUCGAGAGAGGUGAGUGGAAUUCCGAGUGUAGAGGUGAAAUUCGUAGAUAUUCGGAGGAACACCAGUGGCGAAGGCGGCUCACUGGCUCGAUACUGACGCUGAGGUGCGAAAGCGUGGGGAGCAAACAGGAUUAGAUACCCUAGUAGUCCCAUGAU